CUCAGGGAGCUUCCAUUCUAAGAGGAGAGACAAUCUCUAUGCAUGUAGGUGGGGGGAGGACCUGUAGGGCUUUCUGCAGAAGGUGGCGCUCAAGGGAAUUCUUGAAGAAAAUGAAGGGUUACAGGAGACAGAGCUGAAGAGGAAAUGCAUCCCAAGCGUAGGGGUCAGCCAAUGCAAAGGCAAAGAGGUGGGAGAUUCAAUACUAUCAACUGAGCAACAAGCAUUGAUUAAGCGCCUAUGGUUUAUGACUCAGUUCUGGGUAUGCAAAGAGAAAAGGAGAUUACAGUCUAAUAGGAUUCUCACAAUGCCCUGGAUAAAGAACAUCAGGAAACUAGAAGAGCAUUUACCUGGACCAGAGUUCGUGGAGGAAGGAGUGUGUGAAGAGCUUUAGGUCUCAGGAUUUAGAUUGUAUCUUGGAUGGAAAAGGAAGCCACCACGGUUUACUGAGCAUCGCACAGGGCGUCCUUCUUUCUGCCACCUCCACUGCAGACUCUGUCCUCCCCUGCCGUCCCACAGUCGCCUUGCCUGGGGCUCUGCUGGAGGCAGCCACUUGUCAAACUGGACCAACGUAAGAGAAGGGUUGAGUGUGUUCAAGGAGCACACCCAGUCUGGCCUCAGACUCUCCUCCCCAUCCACUCUGAAUUUUCCUUGUGUGUGUGAGCCCCAGAGCCGUCAGGAACUCACCAAGAGGCUGCAGGAGAGAGGACAGCGGCCUUGGCUCCCAGCUCAGUCACUGCGGCCACGGAACCUGGAUGUUGGAUUCACAGGUGUGGCUCGGUGUCAAGAGGGAAGGUGGAUGCAGGAGUAAUUUUGCUAGAUCUGCUCUGUCUAAUUCCUGAAGCGGCGAUUCAAAAGAAGUUGCCGAUUAUCCAAGUUUCAAGCCCAGAAUAUUUGCUCAGUGGCUCAGCAUCUGUCUGGAGACAAAAAAGGAGGCGGUGGGCCAGACCUGCAGUCUGGAAGACCUGAGUGCAAGUCCUGACUGACAUUUUCUACCUUUGUGACCAUAAGGAAGUCAUACCUUCUCUGAGUCUCAGUUUUGUUGCCUGUAAAAUGGGGGUGAUAACUCUAGCAGCUACUUCACCAGGUGAUUGGGAAGCUCCAAGCAUGUGGAAGAGGCCUCAGACAAGCCUUUGUUCAACCUGUACCUGUCUCCAUGGACGUCUGCUUUAAGAUUGGGGUCUCCAUUCGGCCACUAAAGUGAUCUUCCUGAAACACAGAUUAGAUCAAGUCAUCUCCUCCUCAGUAAACCCUAGUGGCUUCCUAUUCCCUUGAGAAGCAAA